rnacentral:rRNA from 1 species
UGUGAGGAGGAGGACGAGGAGGAUUUUGCGAAGGAGGUGGUGGAGGAUGAGGAGGAGGUGGUGGAGGAUGACGCCGCCGAGAGGAGGCUGGUUGUUCGUCAGGUUUCUGAGGGUGGGGAUGGACCCUCACGGGUGACAGAGCACCACGAGGUGAGCGGUUCGCAACCGAGCGAUUCGACUAUCAGCACUACUUCCAGAGGGAAAGUGUGGCUGCGUGGUCCUUCAAAGCUUCCAAGACGUCCAUAUGUGCAUAGAGACGUGUUGAUUAAACCAAUGGGAGAGAAAAGCUUAGUAAAAGGUGGUGAGAGGCGUCUGCCACGGUCGCUGAGUGGCAUCAUUGGGGGUCUUUGUAGGUUAAAUUAUCCUGGGCUGGUCACUUUGCCGAACGGUAUCAUUGAGCCAGCUUGGUCAUGGGAUCACUACAAACUUGCACCGGAUUUCUUGGAUAUGCGUCAGAGGGUUUAUGAUAACAGAGCCACGCGAGUGGUCAACGAUUUCUGGGAUUUCUAUACAUGCGUUGAGGGUCAGAAGGAUCGUGCAAAUGUGGUGGUUGAGAAUAUUGCCAAGAAACUAGUCCACGACAUGCACUAUGAGGAGUGCGUCCGGUUAGUGGUCAAGUAUCACGCGGACUAUCUCAACCAUAGGAUUUCCAAACAGGAGGCUCGAGGGACGCAUCUUUCAUGGGACAAUUACUUCAAGCCGUGCUGGGAGAAGAUAGUCGAACGGUGGACAGAUCCAGGGUGGCAGGAUGAACACAAAGCAAUAUCUGAACGGAGUAAGUUGAUGGGGGGUCGAGGACACCGUCAAGGCAACCUCACCAUCCCAGAAGACACUGGCAAGGAUAUCACUUACUUCGAGGCAUGGACCAUCAAACGUACCAAAGACGACAAGGACAAGGACCCUCUCCACCCGGAGAGGGACUGGAUCAGCUCUAAAUCCCGGUCAGAUGGAGAGAACUACACCAAAAAAUUGAAGGAGACAUACGGGCCUGACGCUGAUCCUCACGUGCUACCGUUUGACCCUCUUGUGGCCAUUGCCGUGACAGGCGGUAGACCAAAUGGCCGGAUGGCGGUUCACCUAGAUUCUGUCAUAACCUCCUCCCUUCCGAGAGGCAACACGCUCCGUGCUAUGAGUACUGGCUCUACUCCUACCGUAGAGCGUCACGUACCACAUUUCGUGAGCAUUAUUGAGGAUAUU